rnacentral:rRNA from 1 species
AAAUGAAUAGACGGGGGCCCGCACAAGCAGCGGAGCAUGUGGUUUAAUUCGAAGCAACGCGAAGAACCUUACCAAGGCUUGACAUCCUCUGACGUACAUAGAAAUAUGUAUUCCCUUCGGGGCAGAGAGACAGGUGGUGCAUGGUUGUCGUCAGCUCGUGUCGUGAGAUGUUGGGUUAAGUCCCGCAACGAGCGCAACCCUUAUCAAUAGUUGCCAACGAGUAAAGUCGGGAACUCUAUUGAGACCGCCGGGGAUAACUCGGAGGAAGGUGGGGAUGACGUCAAAUCAUCAUGCCCCUUAUGUCUUGGGCUACACACGUGCUACAAUGGUCGGUACAAAGAGCGGCGAACUCGCAAGAGCAAGCGAAUCUCAAAAAGCCGAUCUCAGUUCGGAUUGUGGGCUGCAACCCGCCCACAUGAAGUCGGAGUUGCUAGUAAUCGCGAAUCAGCAUGUCGCGGUGAAUGCGUUCCCGGGCCUUGUACACACCGCCCGU